UACGUAGGGACCGAGCGUUGUCCGGAUUCAUUGGGCGUAAAGAGCUCGUAGGCGGCCACUCAAGUCGAAUGUGAAACCUCGAGGCUUAACCUCGAGCCUGCAUUCGAUACUGGGCGGCUAGAGUCUGGUAGGGGGGAUCUGGAAUUCCUGGUGUAGCGGUGGAAUGCGCAGAUAUCAGGAGGAACACCGGUGGCGAAGGCGGGAUCCUGGGCCAGUACUGACGCUGAGGAGCGAAAGCGUGGGGAGCAAACAGGGAUUAAGAUACCCCGUGGGUAGUCC
rnacentral:rRNA from 1 species